CAGACGGGUGUGCACAGAGUGUAAGCGACAGAACCUCCAGGAGAGUGAGCCGGGGCGCCCUUCCUCCCGAGGAGGGGAGAAGCCUGUUUCCGGUGAGUCUGACCUGCCCAGACUGGACAUCACUGAAGAAGACGGAGAGCUGCACACAGGGUCUGAGACCUGCCUGGGAGGCUGUGCCGGCACCAGUGUGGGGAACGUAGGCCGUCCGCUCGCGCUCUGUCCUGCUCUGCCCUGGGCCUCCUGGCCCCGUGCAGCCCCGUGCCCUCUCCUGCUCCCACUCGUGCCUCCGUCUCCACCACACCUUUAGCUCAUUUCCCCAGCUUCCACCCUCCAGCCCUGCCCAGGACGCCUUCCCGCUCGCCCCUCGGCAGGGCAUUUGCACAGACAAGUCUCCACGGCUGCCCAAGCCCUGGCCGCCCCCAGGCUCUCGUGGACCCUGCCCUGAGCCUGCGCCCGGGCAGCCCUCCCACCCAAAUGGUCCAGGACCUCGUGGCGGCUCCAGAGGAACAGGCUGAGGAGAGGGUCAGGCCCUGCGUCUUUCUCCGUCUUGUUUCACACCGACUUCCGGGACUCUGAGACCAAAGGUCUGUGCCAAGCAGAGCCGUCCAGGGAGCCCAGACGAGGGGAUUGAGGAGGCGAGAGAGGGCGUCACGGUGAGAGAGACACACUCCCGUUUUCCUGGGAACUGCUCAGUACGGUGAGGGCAAGUCUGAUGUUGAGUGGAGCCCCCCGCACUCCCUGCAGGACGAGAGCAGGGACUUGGCAGGAAGUGAGCUGAGGCGAGAUUUCCACAGGACUGACUUGCCCCAGAUCAGUUCCUUCUCCCCGAUCAACGCGUCGUUGACGACUCAGCACCCCACCCCAUCCUUCCUGAGAGCAUCUCCUUUCCCACCAUCAUCAUUUAUACUGUGAUUUUGGCUUGAUCCGUGCCGGCAACAGAGGAGAUUUACAGGUUUGAUUUCAACGCGAGGGGCAGAAGCAAGCAGGGGUCUGUGCGGCUUCCUCAGACCCUUCUAACGGGAAGGAAACCCAUCAGGGAUUUUGAAAUAGAACAGCAGUUUCCUUUUCCCUGUGGGAUCUGCAUUAGCAAGUCUGCAAAUGGAAAAUGCAUUCGGAACCGCCAGCGUCCCUUACGGCCCUCAGUGGGGAAGCGGGUGGUGAUCCUGCUGCUAUUUUAAAACUUGUCUCGGGGUCAGGAGCAGCUGAAAUCGUUUGGGGCUUAAUUUUGCAUGAGGAUGUAGCAAAGCGUAAGAGGAGGAGAGAAAGAGAAAAUGCUAGUGACGGAGAAGGGGCCCCGAGAGGGAACCGGAGCCAAGGCUGAGCUCAGAGGGGCAUGGACCACGGAUGUGAGGGGAACAGGGCUGAAGGAUGAAGCCGGGCAGAGGCGGCCGGACGGGAGCGGGUGUGCGUGUGGACACAGCCAGCUCUCAGGCUCUGGGGUGUGCUGUCCCAAGAGAGAGCUGCCGGACAGGCUGGGAGGGGAAGCUGCCUGGACGCCUGACCGAACAGAGGCCGAGGGAGCGUGAGGAACCUCAGGCCACAAUUACAGCCUCUGGGCCCAGCUCGGAAGUGGCCUCGAAGAGGGGCUCCUCUGCUGGGCGCCAGCUGCCCCGAGCGUGACCUUAAGGCCUCGUGGCUUUGCACACAGCCAGGCGCUGCCCACCCGUCCCUUCCCUCCUCAUGGUGUGGAGGGGGUCCAGACAGCGCUGCUCUCCCCGCAGCUCAGAUGAGGAGCCGAAGGAGUGAGACAGAAAGCAUGAAACCAUCACACACAGAAGGGGCCACAGAGCGACGGGUCGGGUGCCCCUCAGCCGGGAGCUUCUGUUCUGCUGUGGGAGGAGCCUGAGCUCCCGAGCGAUGGCCAAGCCCCAGCUCCGUCCGUCUGAAUCCCAGCUUGUCCCUCGGAGUCGGACCUGGAUGGAAGGGUCAGAAUGCACGGCCUGCGGGGGCCACGGGCAGGCAGCCGUGAGUCCACCCCACCCCCUGUUUCUUUCUGUCUUCUGUACCCCUGAGAACUUUCCGUUCAGUUCGCACGGUGUCUCCAGAUCCCUGGGGUUUCUGAGUGAGCUGAGCAUGGCCAGGCGCUGGGUCAGCCCCGGGGCUCUGCUGCCCCAGAUGCCAAGUCAUCGCUGCUCAGUCCCGCCCUUGACGUCCCUUCUUGUGGCUUCUCACUCUCAUCCCCCUCUGCCCCUGCAGAUGGAAGUCCAGCCACAGACCUGCCCCAGCAGGAGCCGGGGUUGGGGCGUCUGGGGCAGAGGCCUGAAGGGCAGAAGCUCGCCAGGGUGGGAGGGUUGGUCGUCCACCAGCAAUGGUGGGCUGCCCCUGCCCGAGGGGGGCGUGUCUGUCUGUGUCUGUGGGUGUCUCUGUAUCUCUCUGUCUGUCUUGUCUCUGUGCAUGUCUGUGUGCCUCCGUGUCCGUGUGUCUGUCUCUUUGUGUCUACCAGCUCACAGGACGGUCAGAAGCCACAGCCCACGCCCUUCUCCAUCUGGCCUUCUGUCGGGGCCACGGGGAGGUCAGUGUCCUGGAAAACGAGCCCCAUGGAAGCCCUGACUCACAGCCACUUCCUCCUGCCCCCCGCCCGCCCCCACGGCUGGGCACACGGGCGCCCACAGCCCAGGCCCACAGCCCUGACUCACCACCACGCGGCUCUAACUGGACGGCUUCCUGGGAAGGGCAGCUGAGGACACGGAGGCACCGCGAGGAGGCGGCCCCUCUGGCCCCGCGUGCAGCUGUGGGGCCGGCGGCUCUUGCUCUCCGGGCCAGCGCUGGCCGGACCCCGGGAAGCCCGUCCUGCCCGACGCCCAGACGGGGCGCGUGAGGCUGGGGGGUGGGUCUCGCGCGUCCCUGACAGACCGUGUUUCUCUGCUGAGACGUGCCCUUCAUGCCUCCCGCCAGCUUCCUCUUGGUGUCUUUUUCCCGUUCUGAUUCGUAGAGACUUUCACACACCCCCAACGCUGACCCUCUGGCAGUUACGUCCCUACGUUUUAAAGAGAUCCCCACCCCAAGGUCACAAACACCCACCGACACUUCCCAGGCAGUGUCUGUGAGAACAGCUGUGCGUUCAAGCCCGGGGUCCAGCUGCAGCUGACGCGCCUGCUGGGAGCCAGGAUCCAAUUUCCUUCCCACGAGGAAACCGUCUCCACACCUGGCGGCUGCUCUGCUCUUGCAGAAGGAAAACCCCACAGGAGGACAUGCCGUCGGAUCCCACCACGUCCUGGAGAAGGAUGGAUGGCUCCCAGCCAGUUGUCCUCCUGGGCGGGGCCGCUUGUGGGACGUGUGCCGUCAUCCAGAGUGGACUCAGCACAGUGCUGACUGCAGCCACUGAGCUGAAGGACAGACACGAGGGCCCGGCCCCCGGCCCUGAGUGGGCUGUUUCCACCACAGCUAAACGCCACGGACCCCGCUCAGGGGUUUCCUGUUGCCUUUCACUGAGAAGAGCCCAGGCGGGUCUCCGGCCACCGCACAGGACCUUCCAACCGUCAAAGCUGGUGUGACGAGGCCGGAGAGGAGGACACUGGUGGACGCCCCUAAUCAGCUCAGCAAGGAAACAGCCCGGAUCUUUGGGAUCUGAAAGCACCGAGGGCUCGCCUCGGCUGAGUGUGGGCCCCUGAAGACCUGGCACAAGUGUGACGUGAUCUGCUGACAGCCCAGGAAACCAGAAAGCAAACGGGGCUGCAGCUUUGUGCUUCUUUGGACUCAGCUGUCUGGACAGGCUGUACCCUCGCGGCCGAGAGAAGAUGUCUUCACGACGGGUUGGACGCGAGCUCAGCACCCGGGUCUGGGAAUCUCAUCUCCGGAGGAGCGGACUCUCUGGAACGAACUUCGUGCGGCUGCCUCUCCCUCUGCUGUUUCACGAACGCGUCCUCAGUUCCUCGUUACUCUCUGGAGUCCCCGGUCUACUCGUAGCAUCUGCCUCUCCUGGAACUCUGCUUUCUCUGACGCCCUGAGCCUGUUUCUUCAUGUCCACUGACUGCCGCAUUUCAGUCAACCGAGGAGAUGCUGGAAAGGAACACGCCCACACCGUCCGCCGUCUUGAACUGCAGACUUGACGCUCAACCAGCCGCCACUGAUCACAUUUGCAUCACAACCCAAUGAUCCCAACCACCGGCCUGGACCCGUUUCCUUAGAGCCAGAAAGACAGAUGCCAACACCGUGCCAGCCACCUCGGGCCAGGGCCCUCUGGGUGAUUUAAUACUGAUGUUCACGACUUGUGUUCUGGGGUCUCUGCACUGAGCACAGACUGUGUUUGAAGUUGAAAGGAAGGCAGGCAAAUAAGAAAAGAAAGAAAGAGAGAAAGAGAGAGGGAGGUGGUGGGGGAGGAAUUGAGGCCUCCUCACCUCACACCCGCGAGCGUGGCCACAAUGAGAAACACUCACAGAAAACACGCGUCAGUGAGGACGCAGAGAAGCUGGGACUUGUGCACUGCUGCUGGGAUGCUAACGAUGCAGCCGCCGUGGAGCACACUCUGGCACGUCCUCAAGGCUUAUCGACAGGCUGUCAUGUGAUGCGGCCGCCCCACUGUGCACUGAAGGAACCGAGGCCGGGUCUUGCAGAGGUGUCUGCACACCCGUGUUCACAGCAGCGUGAUUCACAAGAGCCCCAGGGUCCAUCAGCGAAUGAAGGGAUAAGUGGAACGCGGCCCAUCCACAGGGGAGCAUCAUUCAGCCCCAGAAAGGAAGGACGCCUGUUACAACACGGACAGAGCUUGCGGGCAUCGUGCUGAGGGAAAUCAGCCACAAAAGGGCAGGCACUGUGUGAUCCCACUCACGUGAGGCCCCUGGAGUUGACAGAUUCAUAGAGACAGAAAGUAGACGGUGGGGCCAGGGGCUGUGGGGGGGGAGUCAGUGUUUAAUGGGGACCGAGUCUCAGUUUGGGAAGAUGAGAAAGUCCUGGAGACAGAUGGUGUGACGGCUGCACAACAUUGUGAAUGUGCUCAAUGCCCCUAAACAGUGCACUAAAAAAUGGCUAACUAAUAAAUUUUAUGUUGUGUUUUUUACCACAGUUUUAAAAAUAAAAACUGUGGUAAGUUAAAAAAAAAAAAAAAGCUGCUACAAAAUGAUACAUAAAGCUUGAAAACCAAUCUUUAUAUUACGCAUGUACCUUAAUGGUGUCAAACGUGCCUCCUCUGUAAAGACACCACAUUUGGGACGUGGGCAAAGGGAGGUCAGUGAAGAAGGCUCCAGGGACGAGGGUGUCAGCUGUGCCCACAGUGCCCAGUGCCCCGUGCUGUGUCCUCUCCACCCACCCGUCCUGGGCCAUCAGCUCAGAAGCAGCCCUCACCCCACGCUGGGGCCCAGGGGGAGCAGGAAGGAGGGCACAGGGCCCGGGCUCAGCUGAGGGCGUCACUCGACCGUGUCUGUGCCAGCUUGAGGCAGAGGCCCCGUCAAGGUGUGGGCAGAGAUGCCUGUCUCCCAAACGGCGCCCCCAACUCCUUCCAGAGCUCGGAGCUCAGACGAACCUGGAGGGUGUGGGCAACGCACUUAUGCGGGGGGAGGCUCGGACGCGUUCUGGGGUGAAACCCAGCGAAAAUGCUCCCCUUGUUCUCCACGCCGUCCCGGCCUGACAGACGGGCUCGCUGUCACGGCCUCCUGGUUCCAGGAACUCGGGCAAAUUCUCCCUCUGGUUCCCCAUUCGUGAGGCGGGAGGACCCCGGGGGGUCCCACUGCCUCCUGUAGUAGAAAGAUGAACACAGGCACUGGACUCGCGCCAUCAACGAGACCUGCAGCGUUGACACGGUCAGACUCCAGUUGGCUCUGUCUUCAGUUCCGCCAGCCCGCGAGGUUGGAACAAUGAAUCCGAGAGGCCGCGAGUGGAGCCGAAAGGACGGGGGCCCACCAUAAUGGGCACAGACAUCUUUCCGGAUUCUUCACAAGAGGGAAUGGCAGGGCCUGAGCCCCCCACUGCUGGGAGAGGCUGACAGGCCAUACACCCCUGAGAUGACGGCUCCCGCCAGGCAUUGAGGACCGAGGCUCCAGCAGGGCUCCUGGCUGUGCAUCACAGGUGAGCAGCGAGUGUGCUGGGAACCUUCCAGCGGGAGACGGCCCUUCACGGCUCAGCACCCCUCAGCCCUGUGCAGAAAGUACCCGAACACGUGGGCAUCAGGCAUCUGCGGUUCUCACUGCCCCUCCUGCCUCAGGGGCAGCAGAAGGAGAGACUCACACGCGUGGGGCAGCCCCAAGCCUGGCAGCCGUCCCGCAGUCUGCGCCAAACAGGCGGGGCCUUUUCCAAGACGGGAUGAAGAGCUGGGAGCUGCCCCUCGCGGGCCCGUCCCUCAUCUGCUCAGUGGAAUUCUGCCCCCUGCUCUCCAGGUCAACUUGCCCGGUGCUCUCUCCCCACGUCCAGGUCGGCUGGCUGACCAGCCUUCACCCCCUGCCCUGAGGGGCCUGGGGGCUGGUGGCUGCCCAGCUUUGGUUCACCGCCUGCUGUCUCUGUGCUCAUUCAUCUUCCAGGCCCUGCACCAUGGGUGGAACUACGAGGCCGUCUGGCCCUGGAGCUCUCACAGGGUGGCUAGGGAUGUGGACCAGGAGCAGCCCAAGGCAGCCCAGAUGGGUGCCAGGCUCUGGUACUGGGAGGAGAGACUCCAAUACUGGAGGCAUCGGGAGGACUUCCUGGAGGAGGCGGCUUGCGAAGGCCGAGUUAGGGUGAGGAGGAAGACGAGCCUGCUCCCGGACACACACGACGAAGAGCCAUGACCAUGACCAGGCUUGUGUAGCAGACAACCGGGCGAGAGAGCUGGCCUGCCCUCUAGGGACCAUCCUGGGCCUCUCCAAGCCUCGGCCAUCUCGUCUGUGAGGUGGGGACACCCGUACACCUCAUGGCAAUGCUGGGGGCAAAGCCCACAAGAGCCCCAGGGCCCUGCGGUCCCUGAGGACUCGCGCCACAACGGUCGCCCGUAAAUGGCAGAUGGUGGCUCUGGGCCGGCUCCAGGGAUGGCCUGUGCUUGCAGUGAGAGUGGACAUUGCAAUGGGCUCCUCUGCUCAUCAGAAUCCCAAAGUCCUCAGUGGUAGCUGACCCCACACCAUCCCACGCGCCCCAAUAAUAAGCUCUCCCUAAACUUCAGCGGGAGCCAUCUCUGUGCCGCAGCUUCUCCAAGACACCACGGACCGGGCAGCUCACACACGGACACUCGCUUCUCUCCAUCCUGAGGCUGGACGUCCAGGAUCACGGUGCCAGCAGGCCCCGUUCUGGUGAGGCCUGCGUCCUGGGCAGCUUAGCAGGGCCGCGGUCCAGAAGGGGCGCUGGUGAGCUGAGCAGAGGUGCAGCCGACAGUAGCUGGCUCUGGGCUGUGCGCAGCCCUGACACCUGGGGAGGUGGCAGAAGCCAGGAUGCAAAACAACAAAAAUCCAUUUUCAUUUUCCGUUGGCAUUUACUUCUGGAACGCCUCACACGGCAGCUUAGGAGCGUGUGGAACUCCAGCUGCCCUUGUCUCCUGCUGCCCAUGAUUCCCUCUAUAUCCCCAAGAGGGAGUCCAGAAACGUGUGCUGAGCUAACCUCCGGACCCGGGUGCCUUAGGUUAGAAUCCAGCUCUGAACCAGCCAGGCAUCCUUGGGCAAUUCUCCUACCCCGUCUCCACGUGAGUUUCCUCCAGAAUAAACUGGGUUAUAGGGGGCGUGUCUGAAGCCCAGCGCAUUCUGAGCCUCCCUCAGUGGAUGUCAGGCACUGUGAUACGGACAUCAGGUGGGAGAUGCUGGCCAUUAACCCGAGAGCCAGUUAAAUUUCUUCCCAUCAAGGAGCUUAGACACAGGUUCUAAGUCUGAUGAAAACGGCAAGGCUCCAGUUCAAUGAUGACAACUGGAGACGUCCAGAACUUCCACUGAUGCACAGAACAGCUGGGCAGAGAAUCAACAAGGAAAGCAAGCUCUGAACAGCACGCUCAGCCAGUUGGACCCAGCGCACGUCUGCAGAACUCUCCAGCCGACACAGAUACACAGUCUUCUCAAGGGCAUGUGGAAUGUCCUCCAGGACAGGCCAUAUGUUAGGCCACAUAAUAAGUUUCAAUAAAUUUAAAAGGAUCGCAAUCAUACAAGAUAGGUUCUACAACCAUAAUAGAAUUAAAUUAGAAAACAGGAACAGAAGGAAAUUUGAGAAAUUCACAAACGUGGAAAUUAAACAACAUGGUCCUAUUGAAUCAACGGAUCAGACAAGACGUCACAAAGGAAACUAGAAAAUACUUUGAGAUGAAAGACUUUACAAAAAACUGAAGAGCAAUAUCCCCUUGAGCAUACGGAAGCAAAAUUAAUUAAUUGUGAUGAACGGGCCAUAACGUAAGAUGCUCGUAACAGGGAAACUGGGGGUGAAGUACAUGGGAGCUCUGUGCUACCGUCACGAUUUUCUGUAAAUCUAAAACUAUUCAAAAUUAAAAUCUUAUUAAACAGCUUUUUAAAAAUAAAGGCAGG
rnacentral:lncRNA from 1 species